GACGAACCGUGCGAACGUUGUUCGGAAUCACUGGGCUUAAAGGGCGCGUAGGCGGCUCAUCAAGUCCGGGGUGAAAGCCCCCAGCUUAACUGGGGAAGUGCCUCGGAUACUGGUGAACUGGAGGGAGGUAGGGGCGGAUGGAACUUCCGGUGGAGCGGUGAAAUGCGUUGAUAUUGGAAGGAACGCCGGUGGCGAAAGCGACCUGCUGGACCUCUUCUGACGCUGAUGCGCGAAAGCUAGGGGAGCGAACGGG
rnacentral:rRNA from 1 species